CUCGGUUGCCUGGAGAUUGAACCUGGGACGUUCAUUUUCGUCUUCAAGGUCUUUCUCUCUUUGAUCGACCUCUGACCAUUGGCAUAUAAUUCGGGAAGAGACUGCAACAUACUGAAAAUAGAGUAUAGUGGGUUAAUAAAGGGAAAUAAAAACUUUGGCAAGAAAAAGAGUUCGGAUAUGUUAAGUGCAUGAAGUUGGCAAACACAAGCUCUUCGAUACUUACGUUCUCGAACCGGGGUUCUUUGGCUGAGAGAACAAAGUGUUCAUAUAGCUCGUGUAGGAAGUAUUCUGGAUAUUUAGGCUAUAGUGUCAUCGAGGCUCCUACCUCUAAAACUCGGCUUGGUCCAGGUUGUUUUGGUGGAGAAGGGGGGUUGUAUUGAGGAGAUUGUUCAGGAGAUAUUUCGGUGUUGGAUAUUUUGGCUGGUGGUUCGGAGGAAGGGUCUUCAAGUUCUUUUCAUUUUUGGUUUUUGUUUAUGUUUGGUUCAGUGGUGUCUGUUAGAAUGUCUUUGGUGGUUGGGAUGUUUUCAGUUGAGGUGAUGCGGGUUUUAAACGAAGCAGUUUUAGGUGCUUUAGAGGUAUUUGUUUGGGCGGCAGCUAUGGUGCGUCUUUUUUUAAUCCGUAGGAUUUUAGUCCUUUUGGAAUUAGGCAUGCAUGUCCAAGGGACUUUUUCUGAAGUAUGGAAUGGGGAUUAUGGUCGGUUGAGGCACAUUUAUAGAUGGGUUCAGUUUGGUGGUAGAUGGACCUUCGGUUAUGGUCACUAAUGGUGUGGUCUUAGUGAUAGGAGGAACAACGAAGGAUUGACUAGUGUCUUUGGGGUUGAUGUUUUCGUUGUUGACCCUUUCGGAGGAUGUUGGCUUGAUGAGGGAUAUUGUACACGAAUAAUGGGUCAGAAUCAGAAAUGACGAGUUAAAAUAUAUAAGAAUAUAAGAAAGGAAAGAAGGAUUUUGGAGACUUACAUUUAUGCUUUUAUAACCAGGAUUGCUUGGUCAGGAGGUUGAAAUCCCAUUCUCUCAUUGGCAAUUUUCCGAUUAGUUCACUAUUUCAACAAACUCUGUUUGGGGGAAUUUCUCCAAUGGUGACGUUUGGCCUUCCAUAGUUGGCCCAGUCUGGGAUUUGGUGAGUAUUGGGCCCUCAGAUGAAGAAUCAGUGUGUGUGCCACCCCUUAUUGCUCGAAGGGGUGCUCAUUAGGGAUCACUUUUCUAUAUGAUGAUUUGGUUUUGAUUCUUGUUUGCUUAGGGCACAAAACCCUGGUUCUCGCGAUUGGCCUAGAGAAAACAAGGAGAAGAAGAAGUCAAGUGUUGGGGGAACACCGAGCUCAUGGAAAAUAGCGAUGAAUGCAACGAUGUCAAUGUAGGAGUUUGGCACCAGCUAUGCAAAGUUGAUGCCAAUAAACCAUAAUAAGGUGAUGAUGAAGGCGUAAAGGGGUAGCCGAACCCCUUUCUCCAGCAGGGUAAGAGGUAUCGUGGUCCAGCCAUCAAUAAAGUGGUACAUCCAGUUAAAUUCAGAAGGGGCUUUGAGCUAGUGGGUUUCAGGGAUGUGAUAGUGUUCCCAUAUUAUGGUGAGGUCAUCUUCAGUGAUGGUGGUUGUCAUGGGAAAAUUGUGUUUCAUUUGAGUACUCUCUAAUCAUUUUUUGAAAUUCCAACUAUGCCUUAGAUAGGGUUGAAGUUUAGGGGGCAGAGCUGGUGGUAACAGUGGUGGAUUCAUAGGUGGUGGUGGUUGUGGUGUUGUUGGUGUUGGUAGUGAUAGCGUUUACUGGUAGAGCAGGAAUGGAAGAAAUGGGGAUGGCGUUGAUGGGAUCAUUGUUGGGUGGGCUGGAUGAUAUUGGAGUGCUUGAGGAAGCCAUUGAAGAUUGAAGAAAUGAGUUUUGCCAAAAAAAAUUGCAGUAGAGAAGAGAGGGCUUUGAGAAUUUGAAAUUGAGAAGGCGUAUUCAUCUGGUUUGGGGGGGAGGGGUUUUGAAAUGAAAUAUCUUUUCAACUUUGCGCACUUCUCGGUGUACGACUGUAAGACCCCAAAUUUUUUUAUAAAUAAAAUGGAAUUUCCUUUAUUUAUUAUUUUGAAAUAGUAAGGGUUUAUUUGAUUAAUGUGGUUAGUUGUGGGUAAAAUACGCAAAUAUUUUAAAUAAGCAAGUGGUUAUAAAAUAUUCAUUGUUGACGGGGAAUAUUCGUUUGGUCGUGGAAUAUUCUUGCUGUCGGGGAAUAUUCAUACGACGGCGCAACCUUGUGUGGGCCCCAUAACGGAAAGCGAUUGGAUAAAGAAAACGACAAGAAUAAGUUAUUUAUAAAUAACGGCGUAGUUGUUACCGUUAAUACUGUUGAAAUACUCAGUGGUUAAAAUACAGUAGCACACGGUUUUGCACCAAUUAUUGAUUCUUACGUAAGAAGGCACUAUUCAAUAAUUGUUACAGUAAUUAAUGUUCAAUAUUUUAUUUUAUUGAUUUAAUAAUUGAUACGUUGAUAUUUUAUAUUAUUGUUGUUUCAAUAAUUGUCACUGCGUAGUAUUUUCAUUAUCAGAUCAAUAAUUCAUAUUAUUGGAAUAAUAUUAUUAGAUAACAUUAUUGGCAAUGUCUAGAAAGUUCUGUCUAAGGAGAGGUUUGGUCACCUAAUUGCACGCCAGUAAGGAGAAAUUCUUAUUAGAAAGCCCCCUCUUUCUUGGGAACGGCCUGGUUUCCAGUAUUGUGAUUCUGUAAUAUUAUUUGUGAAUAAUUAAUUAUGGAUUUAUAUGAUAAGGAAAAUAUUCAUUUUAUAUGGAUAUAGAUGGAGAAAAUUUUUAAUGUGACAAUUGUUGAAAAUUGAUAUUUUAUCUUUUUCUGAUAAAAUAAUACAUUUAAAUAUAUUAUUAUAUUUUAAUAAUAUAAUAAUGGUGAUAUUUUUACAAUGAAAGUGUGAUAUAUGAAUAAAUGAGGAGGAAGAAUAUUUUUGUUACAAUAAAUAUUAAAAACAUGUUUUUGCAUGUUUGUGGACCCCAUUUCUUAACUGAAAUUUGAUUAUAGCCUGUAAAAUCGUCCGUUUGUGGAUUUCGGUCAAUUUCUGUUUGGAAUUUGGAAAAACUUAAACUUACAAAGUUGUAGAGAAUGGAAUUUCCUAUGAAAAAGACAUAAGGUUCAAAUUUUUCUGAUAAAAGGGCUAUUUAUUAUGAAUUAUUGAAGUUCCAAAGUUCCAGAAUAAUUGAUUUUUGAAGUUUUAAAUAUUUUUUAAAAGAAAAACGUUUUUUUAUUUGUGGGGCAUGUGUUAAAUGGUUGAAAUCAGCUGGUGGUGUGCUUAGGAAUUUAGUUUAUAAAUAAUAUUAUUAUAUUAAAUUUUCUGCUUUGGUGUUCUAAGUAUUUUUCUAUAAAUAGGGUGCUUAGGUUACACUUAAAAAUCACACCAGAAACUGAAGUUUUCUCUCUUUAUAUUAUCGAACGUAUUCUUGUGAGUAUUUUGAUAUCUUGAGUGUUUCUAUACGGUGCAAGUUUCCUUCAGCGUUAUAUCUGAUAUUCCAGCCAGAAGUACUAUUCUUUUGAGGUAAGGGAUGUUAUUUUUUAAAAAAAUGAUAUUAUCUAAGGAUAAUUUGUUGUACAUUAUCUUAGUCAUAAUAUCUUUUACUGGGCUAGUUGAGCACACCCUUUUCCUUUUUGUUCUAUUUUUCUUCUCAGGAGGCGAAAUUAUAGCAGGAACUAGUCGGGGUGUGGAGUGAUGGUUCAAGAUAGUUAUUUUAGUAGUCCUCACUAUUCUGUAAAAUAGUGUAUCAAUAAUUAUAAUGAGGACUUUAUUUGGGUGUGAAUAUUGUCUAGAUGACAAUAUUUGUAUUUAAACUCACAGUUUAUGUGUUGUCGUAUUUUGCACGACAAAUGUAUUAAUAAAGUUGUAGUUAUUUCUGUACUAUGUAUUUGGCGACUCAGAAUGGGUUGGAUGAAAUGGACCUAUUUUGGGGGCGUCACAACGACUAUUAAAUGGCCUGUUAUGAUUAUGAACGUGAGUAUAAUAAUAGAGACGGAUUUGGUGUUUUGGGCAGUUUUUCAAAGGAGUUGGGUUAUGUGUUCUUUAUGAUUAAUUAUUAGGCUUUUAAUGAGGAACUCUUUCAUUAAAUGUAUCAUUUAAAAGAAGACUCGGGGACAAUAUUGAAGUGUGAAUAUUAAGGCCGGAUUUGUAUAGUGGACCAAAGUUCACGUGGAGGUAUUUAACCCUAUGUAGGAAUCUGUUUUGGCAGUUGAAUAUUUUUAGAAAUCAAAGAUUUCUAAUUGUAUUUAAUUUUCAACUCCUAAGGAAAGUGUCAGGAUAUAAUUUGAUUUUCUUUCUUUAAAGAGAAUCAGUUCGAUCCCAUUAAGGAAUCAUACCUAAGGAGGAAUCAUAUUUCUACACGGGGAAGGAGGUGUGAUCACUAUAAAUACAAUGUUAUAUCCUAAUUUUCAGGUACACAAAAUAUUAUUUACAACACUAUAGCAUAAAAUUUCCAUUGUUAAACUUUAUUCAGCAUGUACUUAUUCUCACACCGGAACCAUCCUCUGGCGGCAUAAGCUGUCAAGUUUCGCGUGUGAUUUCAUUUUUAUGCAGGAUUUAACGCAAUUUUGAUUAUUGAGACGUGUGAACGAAUCUUGACAUUAUCAAUAGACCACCUAACUAUGAUUUAUUGAAUUUUUUUGAAUGUCUGUCCUAUCCGUGGCUACGUCUGUAUGUUCCAUCCAAACUUCAUCCUUGAUCCAAACCUUGUAUCUUUUUUAGGUUAUUCCACGUCUCAAGCUGCUUAUAAGUGUUAUGAUCCCAUGUCCAAAAGGCUCUAUAUUUCUCGCCACGUUCAAUUUGUUGAAUCCACAAUGGUAUCUCUACAUGACACAAUAACUACUCAUUUCUCUCCCUCGACUAAGUCUAUUGACCAGGUCAUCACCUCCUCCCAUAUCAUUGCCACCUCUUUCUACACAUUUUCUUUCUCUAUAGCCCACCCCUUAGACCUGACAAUAUAGUUGGUUAAUUAUUAAAUCAACUAAUAUUAACUAGAAUCGAAUGAGUUAGUUAACUAUUUUAUUUAUUUAAGUUGAGUAAGGUUUAGAACCAUAUUUUUAAAAAGAAAUAUAGGUCCAAACCGGUUAACUAUUUUUCGACUCAUAUUUCAUUCCAAAUCCAAAUCAAAAGUUCUUUUCACCCAAUAUUCAAAAAAUAUUUAUUUAAAAAAAUAAUAUUUAGUGAUUAUGUAUACCCCCACCCCAACCCCAACCCCAACCCCAAAAAAAUAAUAUUCAUUAAUUAUGUAUAUACCCCACUCCCUACCUCAAUCCCACAUCCCCCAUCAGGGGCGGAUCUACCCUAGGGGCAGGGGGGCACCUGCCCCCAUUGAAUUUUCGUCCAUGUGUUGUGCCCUCCUUGGCUCCUUCCCUUUCUCCAUAGUACACACCCCCAUCACCAAACUCUUUUUGUAUAAGUGACUUUUUAAAGUAAUGAUAAUUUUAUACUACUUCUCUUAUUUCUCUCUCUAUGUGUAAUAUUUGACUCAAAAAGUAAGUACUCUCUUCUACUUUCUUUUCUUUUUUAACUAACAUUCUGUAAAGUUUUUUAGUUGUGUAAAGUUUUUUAGUUGUAGAAAAAAAUGAGAAGAAAUUUUUUGACUCGAAAUACUCUCAUUUUUUUAAUAUUUUUUUCUAAUUAAAAUUCAAAAAUACCUUUUCUUAAAUUUUUUUCUCUUUUAUUACAAAAUUGACAUUAUCUCUUUUUAUUUUCAUUCACUUCCUUUUCUUUUAUCACCAAAUUAAAACUCAAAGACAAAGACAAGGUGUUAAAACUCAAAGACUAUUUACUUAGUUUUCUUUAUCCCGUGUGGCCUUAUCCAACUCUUUUGGAUUUGUCACAUUUGUACUAUAUUGAGUUUUUAAUAAAAAAAUUUGUUGAUUAAAAANNNNNNNNNNNNNNNNNNNNNNNNNNNNNNNNNNNNNNNNNNNNNNNNNNNNNNNNNNNNNNNNNNNNNNNNNNNNNNNNNNNNNNNNNNNNNNNNNNNNUUCUUAACAAAAAAAAUCGAAUUUGACCCCACUCAACUUUGUGGCUGGAUCCGCCCCUGUCCCUCAUCCCCAUCCCCAUCCCCAUCCCCAUCCUAAAAAUAAAAAUAAAGGUAAGUUUGAAAUUUAAAAUAUGGGACUACCAAUAUUUGAAUCAUAAUUAUAUGAUUUUAACUCACACAACUCAUUUUAAAAAUUAUUAAUAUAAUUUUAGUUCUUAAAUAAAAUCAUAAUUAUAUUUUAUAAAUCAAAACCAACUUAUGACUAUUCCCUCCGUUUCUAAAAGAUUGUCGUUUUAGAAGAAAAAAUUUGUUCUAAAAAGUUUGUCAUAUAUAACUUUCGAGGAGAAUAAAUUAUUUAUUUUCUUAAAUUAUCCCUACCUUCUCUCAUUGUCUUAAGAAAUUCUCUUCUUUGUAUUAAUAGUUUUCAAUUUUUCAUAAAAGAGUAGUAAUAAAAUUUCAAACAAAUUUUAUUUGAUAAAUAAUACUUUCUUAAUUUAUGUACAAAAAUCUUAAAUAACAAUCUUUUAAGAACUUAUUCAGUAUAUUUUAUCAGGUCUACUCACGCCCCCACAAUUCACAUCUUCUGAAUACCAAAUUCCAAAAAGCCCGUCAUCCCAAUCCUAAAUAGUAUAACUCCCAAUAUAUAAACCACAACACCACCAAUCUUAUUCUUAUUAAAGUUAGCAAUUGGGCGUCCUUCUGUUGACUAAGAGAAUAAUAUAAAUUAAGCACAUGGUCAAGAUCAUCUAGAUAGAACUUAGUCUCUCACAUAAUCAUAUUUCACAUAAAUAAUUUCAGUAUAUAUAUAUAUAUAUAUAUAUAUAUAUAUACACACACACACACACACUAAAAUGACAAUCCCUAGUAACCAAUAAUUCGUCACUUGUCCGAGUUUUUGGGUUUUACAAUAUUGUCACAGUUGUACAAUUAUAUUUUAUACAAUUAUAUUUUAUACAAUUAUAUUGAGAAUUGAUAUAUUUUCUAUUUUAUAUAUAUAUAGAGAGAGAUUAUUGUACCUCUUUUAUAUUUUAUAUAAUUAUAUACAAAAUUGAUAUUUUUACAAAUUAAAAAAAAUUCACAUAAAUAAUAGAAAGACCUCAUAUUUAUAUAAAAGAAAUUUUGUAAAAAUAUCAAUUCUCCAUUUAAAUAUACACGAAGUAAGCAAUACUGCAUAUGGGUGAGAUAACAUAUGAAAUAAAUAAUAUGACAUGAGUCAUCUAUCAUACAUGAGUGGAAUAUUGGACCCAUUGUAAGAUCAAUAAAUAAAUACUACACUUCUCUAUUUUAAUAAUUAACUCCAAUAUAUAUAUAUAUAUAUAUAUUGAGAUAAAAAUAUUACCCCAAGUAUCAUAAAUUUUACUCUUUUUUGGAGGACCAAAGAAGAGAAUAUGGUGGAGCAAAUUCUUUUAGAAUUGUGAUGGCAAAGUUUAGGUAAUAUUAUUAGCUGAAAUAAGUAUGUCCUAACUUGGUUUUAUCAUAAAGUUUGAAAUUGUUAAAAUUUAUUCCUUGUUUUUAAUAAUUUAAGGGAACAUGCAUUCAUGUUAGAAAAAAUCACCACCCAAAUACUGUUGUCUUUGAUAAAUUAGACUGAUAAAAUAUCAGUAUAUGCCAAACAGAUUAAUUUUGCAAUUCCACCAAAAUAAUAACCACUGCAGGAAAUAAUAAAUAGAAAAUAUCAAACCACGAGACACCAAGAAUUUUACGUGGAAAACCCUCUAAAACUAAGAGGUAAAAAUCACGGGACGAUCUCCGAAAAAUCCAUUAUAAUAAACUGAGAGAAUACAAAGAUAUCUUAAUUUGAGUACAAACUCAAAUUACUUCACCACAAUAACUAUGUGAUGGAACCCAAAUAAAACACUCUUUUAUUUGAACUAUCUCUCUCUCUAUUUUUCUAAAACUUUACAAAAGCUUUUCCUCUCUCUUCUUUCUUACUCUCGGAUGAAGUAUAUUUUGUUGGUAUAUCUCAUCCUUCUUCCUUAGCCUCCUUUUAUAGCCAAAUGAGGAGGAGAGAGAUUGGCUAAAUUAUGAGGUAGGUAGGAAAGUAGAAGGUGGAGUGGGUGGGUGAGGAAACAUAAUGAGUGGGAGUGGGUGGAAUUGAUAAUGAGUGGGAGUGGGUGAGGACACCUUUUUGACUAACAAUCUCCCCCUCCGAACCCAAUCUCCGUGACCCCGUCACUUGGAGUCCAUCCCGACCAAUUCCUUGCAAAAUUCCAGCUUGUCACGAGUAACAACUUUUGUUAACAUGUCUGAGGGAUUCUCGUCAGUAUGAACUUUCUUCACUUUCAUCAAUUCCUUUUCCAUCACUUCUCGAAGCCAGUGAUAACGAACAUCAAUAUGCUUGGUCCGAUUAUGAUACGUGGCAUUCUUGGUCAAGUCAAUUGCACUCUGACUAUCACAAUAAACCACGUACUCAUCUUGUUUUAAACCCAACUCUUGGAGAAACCGUUUUAACCACAACAUCUCCUUGCCUGCUUCAGUAGCAGCGAUGUAUUCUGACUCAGUUGUAGACAAAGCAACACACUUUUGCAACUUGGACUGCCAUGAUACUGCUCCCCCUGCAAAAGUAAACAAAUACCCCGAAGUAGACUUCUUCUCUUCAGAACCUGCCAUGUCUGCAUCUGUAAAACCCUCCAAGACUGGACUCGUACUACCAAAAACCAAACAUAAACUGGAAGUAGCUUUCAAGUAUCUGAGAAUCCACUUAACUGCUUCCCAAUGUUCUCUGCCAGGAUUUGACAAAUACCUGCUCACAACGCCAACUGCAUGAGCAAUAUCUGGCCGCGUACAAACCAUUGCAUACAUAAGACUCCCUACAGCAGAGGAGUAGGGAACUGCUUCCAUAUCAUCUCUCCCUUCCUUGGUAGAAGGACACAUGCACUUUGUCAACUUAAUAUGACUAGCCAGUGGUGUGCUAACUGGUUUAGCAUCACUCAUGUUGAAUCUUGCAAGCACCCGCUCAACAUACUUCUCUUGUGACAACCACAACCUCUUGGCUUUCCUGUCACGAACAAUCUUCAUACCCAAAAUCUGUUUAGCUGGACCUAAGUCCUUCAUAUCAAAGGACUUGAACAACUCACCCUUGAGCCUGCGAAUCAUAUCAGCAUCCUGCCCAACUAUCAACAUAUCAUCUACAUAUAGCAAUAAAAUAACGAAGUUACCAUCUGGGAACCUCUUGACAUACACACAGUGAUCUGCAAUUGUUCUACUAUAACCUUGAUCCACCAUAAAUGAAUCAAAUUUCAUGUACCACUGCCUUGGAGCUUGUUUCAGGCCGUACAAACUUUUCUUCAACUUGCAGACCAAGUGUUCUUUCCCUUUAACUUCAAAUCCCUCUGGCUGUUCCAUGUAGAUUUCUUCCUUCAAAUCACCAUGAAGAAAAGCAGUCUUAACAUCCAACUGCUCAAGCUCAAGAUCCAUACUAGCAACUAAUCCCAGCACUACUCGAAUAGAAGUCAUCUUUACGACUGGAGAAAAAAUCUCAUCGAAGUCAAUACCUUGCUUUUGAGCAAAACCCUUGACAACUAGUCGAGCCUUGUACUUUACUAGUUUAUCGCCAUCCUUCUUAAGCUUAAACACCCAUUUGUUCUUCAAUGUUUUCUUGCCUUUCGGAAGUGUAGUCAACUCAUAGGUGUGAUUCUUGUGCAAAGAAUCCAUCUCAUCUUGCAUAGCUCUCAGCCAAUUGCCCUUGUCCUUAUGAGUCUUGACUUCUUGAAAAUCCUCUGGCUCCCCCUCCUCAGCAACUAAAAGAUAUUCAGAUGAAGGAUAUCUGACUGAUGGCACACGUUCUCUAGUGGAUCUUCUCAGCUGAGGUUCUUCAAUAUCAGGUUGCUCCCCCUGAUCAAUACUCUCUGCAUCUGACCCAUCACCAUCGUGCAAAUCUGUAUCAGUCAUAUCUUCAUUCUGACCUCCUUCUCUAACUGUGGCAUUCUGUACUGGAGGAGGAACUUCGCUGAGGUCUAGAACUCUAUUAUCUCUGGGAUGUGUAGCAUUAUCAGAAUGCUCAUAAUUUUGGUGCUCAUGAAACACCACAUCUCUGCUCCUGAAUAAUUUUCUUUGCACUGGAUCCCAUAACCGGUAUCCAAAUUCUGCAUCUCCAUAGCCAACAAAUACACAUGGAGUAGAUUUGUCAUCAAGCUUCGAUCUUUGUUCCUUGGGGAUAUGUGCAAAAGCCUUGCACCCAAAUACCCUCAAAUAAGAAUAAGACAAAUCCUUCCCACUCCAAAUAUUUUCUGGAAUCUGAAAAUCCAACGGUGCUGACGGAGAUCUGUUAAUCAGGUAACAAGCAGUACGAACAGCUUCACCCCAGAAUGACUUAGGUAGCUUAGCCAUUCUCAACAUGCAUCGCACUUUUUCAAUAAUAGUGCGGUUCAUCCUCUCAGCCACACCAUUAUGCUGUGGGGUACCAGGAACAGUCUACUCAUGCCGAAUGCCAUGCUUACUGCAGUAUUCAACAAACUCCUUUGAAGUGUAUUCCCCUCCGUUGUCGCUACGAAGACACUUCAACGAUUUUCCAGUCUCCCUUUCAACCAUAGCAUGAAAACUCUGAAAAUGCUGGAAUACCUGGUCUUUUGUUCUCAACAAAAAUACCCACACCUUCCGCGAAGCAUCAUCAAUAAAGGUAACAAAGUACCUAUUUCCACCCAAAGACUCAACCUCAAUGGGUCCACAUACAUCGGAAUAUACUCUCUCUAGUAGUUCUGAUUUUCUUUUAGCUGAACUACUAAAAGAGACUCUAUGUUGUUUCCCAAACAAACAAUAAUCACAAGGGCUUAAAACAGUACCUUUAGCAGAAGGAAUGAGUGACCUUUUUGCUAAUAACUGCAACCCUUUCUCACUCAUGUGGCCAAGCCUCUUAUGCCAUAAGUUUGGUGAAGAGUCAUCCUCAACUGCAUUCAAUUCACUAGAACACAUCUUCACAUGAGUCUUGUACAACGAACAACAAGCAGCUCCUCUUGCAAUCACCAUAGAGCCCUUGGUAAGCUUCCACUUUCCACUGCCAAAGUGAUUCUCAUAGCCUUCUCUGUCUAAGGCCAUGCCAGAAAUCAGGUUGAGACGCAAAUCUGGAACGUGUCUAACAUCCCUCAAGGUAACAGUGCAACCAACACCUGUCUGAAUGCAAACAUCUCCAAUUCCAAUAAUCUUGGACUGAUCAGUAUUUCCCAUUCUCACGUACCCAAAGUCUCCAGCUUUGUAAGUUGUGAAAAAUUCUCUCUUAGGUGUAGCAUGAUACGAGGCACCAGUAUCAACCACCCAAUCAACUUUCUGAUCAUCAACGUGCAAGCAUUCUUCUUCCCCAAAUGAAAGAAUAACAACAUCUUCGGUGACUGUGGCUGCAGUGUUCUUCUCCUCAACCUUUCCCUGCUCACCAUUUUUCUGCUUGUCUAACCAGAUUCUGCAAUUUCUCUUGUAAUGACCUUCCUUAUUACAAUGGAAGCAUCUAUACGUUUCACCUUGUCUGGUCUUUGACUUGCUCCUGUAGCUUUUGCUUUUGCUGCGACUUGUAUCUCCUUUGUGAGAUCCUCUAAAAUUGCUUCUGCCCCUGUUCUCUGUGACAAGAGCAUGAGUCUCAAAAUUUACGCCUUGCUCCUUUCGCCUUGUCUCCUCAUUAUGAAGACUAUCCUUGACCAUCUGCAUAGUCAUUUUUCCUUCUGGAGCUGAAUUACUUAGAGACACCACCAAAGUCUCCCAGCUGUUUGGCAACGAACUGAGAAGCAAAAGAGCCUGAAUCUCAUCAUCAAGAUUCAACUUCAUGGUGGACAGCUGGUUCACCAAACCUUGGAACUCACUCAUAUGCUCCGACACACUGCUCCCGUCCUUGUACUUUAGAUUCACAAUUUUUCGAAUGACAAAAGUUUUAUUUUGUGCAUUCUUCUUCUCGUACAUAGACUCUAGUGUUGUCCAUAAAUUGUGAGCAUCCGUCUCCUGCGAAACAUGAUGGAACACACUUUGAUCAAUCCACUGCCGGAUGUGACCAAUAGUCUUCCUAUUCAUUUUAUUCCAAUCAGCCUCAGAUUUAUCCACGGGCUUCUUUCCCUUGAGCUCCAACGGAUCAUAUAAAUCCUUGCAAUAAAGGAUAUCCUCCAUUCUGGGCUUCCAGAUCGAAAAAUUUGAAGAGGUCAAUUUAAUCAUGGCUCCGACUGAUUCCUCCAUAAAAUUUAUCAAAAACAACCAAGCAAAUAACCUUAGCUUUGAUACCAGUUGUUGGGAAAAACACCACCCAAAGACUGUUGUUGUUGAUAAAUUAAAUGAAUAAUAAGUAAGAAAAACAAACAAAGAGACACCAAGAUUAUCAAACCACGAGACACCAAGAAUUUUUACGUGGAAAACCCUCUAAAACUAAGAGGUAAAAACCACGGGACGAUCUCCGAAAAAUCUAUUAUAAUAAACUGAGAGAAUACAAAGAUAUCUUAAUUUGAGUACAAACUCAAAUUACUUCACCACAAUAACUAUGUGAUGGAACCCAAAUAAAACACUCUUUUAUUUGAACUAUCUCUCUCUCUAUUUUUCUAAAGCUUUACAAAAGCUUUUCCUCUCUCUUCUUUCUUAUUCUCGGAUGAAGUAUAUUUUGUUGGUAUAUCUCAUCCUUCUUUCUUAGCCUCCUUUUAUAGCCAAAUGAGGAGGAGAGAGAUUGGCUAAAUUAUGAGGUAGGUAGGAAAGUAGAAGGUGGAGUGGGUGGGUGAGAAAAUAUAAUGAGUGGGAGUGGGUGGAAUUGAUAAUGAGUGGGAGUGGGUGAGAACACCUUUUUAACUAACAAUUCCGAUACAUUAACAAUUUUUUGGAAGUUUAAUUUGUAUUUAUGAUUACCCUAAUAAGUAUAUCUCAAAUAUGAGAAAGCCAGUCACAGUAAUAUGAAUAAAAAAUUGAGAUAAUUUUUUUUUCUCUAAAUGUCUCUAAAUUAUUAAAAUAUAAAAUUAAAUAAAAAUUAUUUAGAAGAUUAUAUUAAGAUAUAUUAAAAUAUAUUAAGAGAUGAGUUAUUAAUAUAUAUUAAGUUACAAUCAAAAGUUAAGCAAGCGGGCAAUGUGACCAGAACAUGUGAUAUGAGGUUUAUUUUUUUUACUAUUAUUUUGUAAUUUAUAAUACAUGAUGUGAGAUGUACUGGAAUCUUCGUGGUUAUUGACUAGAUAAUUUCUCCUAUUGGCUACUUAAACAAAGCCAGCUAUAACUGUCAUUUUCUUUCUAAUCUUGUCUAGUGGUAAAUUUCUAAUCAACAAAUUUUAUAACGAAGGAAAUGUUAAGUGAUAAGAUAUAAUAAAUUAAUAUGAGUUUUAUUUAAUUUAUUUUUAUUUUAUAUAUUUAAAUACGUUAGUAUUUAUUAUCUGACACGUCAUAUAUAAUUAGAAUUUUUUUAUAUAUAUUAUAAUUAAUUUACGUAUAAUAACUUUGAAGAAUAUUGAAACUAAUUGUCAUUAUUAUGUAGCAUGCGUUUCUUACUUAUUAGCACGGAUCACUAAAAAAGGUGACAUUCUAAGAAAUUUUGUUCCAAAGUAUAAAGAUAAUAUUGUCUUUUUAGUGUUCGUUUGAGAUACUUUUAGAUUUAAAGUUGACAUAAAUUUAUAUUAUUUUAGUUAAUAUAAUUAUGAAUAUAUCUAAAAUAUUCUACUAAUUCUACAUAUAUUAUUUCUUUAAUGAAUCUUUGAACAUAUUUUAAACAAACUUUUAUAAAUUAAUAAUUAUCUUAUAAUUUGAAAUAAUUAAAAUAAAGAUUUAAACUGAGUGAAAUAAAAAUUUAAGACGUGGAAUAUACAUGCAUCUAACACUAUGAUUAUAAUAAAUUCAUAAUUUUGAGAAGAUAUGAUCUUCUUAUGAGUUACUUACCCAUUCCAAAAUAAUUGUUUAAUUUUACUUUUUCAAUCAAAUCGAUCUAGUACAAGCUAGUAAGUUAUUUUUUCAUUAUUUCUGAUAAAAUUCAGGUGAAAGAAUUAUACUCAUAAAAAAAUAUGUAUAAUAUAUACAAACCCCAACUUUUACCAUUUCACAUUUAUAUCUACAAACGCUUAAUUAAUCACUAAUUUUCAGAAUAAACAAUUUAAUCAAGAAAUUAUUUUGAAACGGAAGGAGUAUGAUAUACCGAUAUAUACACAUAUAUGUAAUUUAGCAAUUAAAAACAAAUAAAUUAGAAGAAGAAAUAAAAAGGAUUAGUAUAACUUACGUAAGAAGAUAUGUUUCCUUUAACUAAAGAUUGAUUGAAGGCACUAGGGAAGAGUUGAAAAGGGUAGGCAGAGUCAUAAAGAACAAGACAUGCAAGAACAGCCGUUGCAAAUAACAACAUAAUCCUUGGGACUUGAUGAAAGAAUUGCUGGAUGUGGUGGUGGUGGUGGUUGCCGCUGUUGGCCGACUCUAACGGAACUUUUCCGGCCUCCAUGCCGGUGACCUCUCCAGAAUUCAUUGGUGUAUUUGAUUGAUAUGAUGGAUCUUUUUCAUGGUAUACGUAUUUGAACAAGUAUAAACUAGCUCUUGUUCUCUAAUUAUAGGAUUAACUGCGUAUUGGACCCCGAAGUAUGUACUCUUUUGCACUUAGUACCCUCAGUUCAAAAACUCUCAUCCCGCUACCCAAACUACUCUCAAGUAAUUAUAAC
rnacentral:lncRNA from 1 species